rnacentral:tRNA from 1 species
GGGCGUAUAGCUCAGCUGGUUAGAGCGUUGCAUUCACAUUGCAAAGGUCUCCCGUUCAAAUCGGGAUACGCCCACAA